rnacentral:rRNA from 1 species
UACGAAGGGGGCUAGCGUUGUUCGGAAUUACUGGGCGUAAAGCGCACGUAGGCGGACUAUUAAGUCAGGGGUGAAAUCCCGGGGCUCAACCCCGGAACUGCCUUUGAUACUGGUAGUCUCGAGUCCGGAAGAGGUGAGUGGAAUUCCGAGUGUAGAGGUGAAAUUCGUAGAUAUUCGGAGGAACACCAGUGGCGAAGGCGGCCAUCUGGCCCACAUUUGACGCUGAGGCGCGAAAGCGUGGGGAGCAAACAGG